rnacentral:misc_RNA from 1 species
GUACUCUCUCGGAGGCACCGGUGAUUGCCAGAACGGAGUCAUUAGACUGCCUACAGCGGGCUCCGUUACCGCGUCACCAUCGCUGUAUCCUCCUCCACACACCGGCUGCAGGUGCACGUUUGCACCGCACAGCGCGGUGGGCAGCAACACGGAGCAAAGGCAAACCGAAAAAGGACGGGCGAUAUCGACACAAGAAAAAGGGGCAACUGGAGCUUCACAGCGCUGGCGGCGAGUGCACGUCCGCUGAGUACGUGUCUGUGGCGCUCCCUGCGCGUAUACCGCGGCAGUUUCAUUGGCCUCGUCGUUGGUUUGGGGUGGUGACUCAGCGCUCCCAUCAAGUCGUUUGUCUGCUUUUUAGCCCCUGUGCGUGUGUGCGUGUGCGGUUUUGGUGGUGGUGGUGGUGGCGGCCCUCUUCCAUAGAUCACGGUAUCUGGUGUUCUUGUUUUUUCUCUCUGCUCUAAUCGUUUGGUGUUGUGCUCCGCGUGUCUGCCGGUGGGCGUGGCUUUGAUUCCUUCCCCUUCCCACCCGCACGCAGAUACACAAGAGCACCGCCGCCGUGCCUAUUCCCGAGUGAGUCACUCGCCCAGGCGGAGGAAGCAAGCCUAUACCGCGUAUAUCUCUGUCUUCCUCCCCUCCCCCCUACACCGGUUGUCACGUUCAGCAGCUCGUGGGCUCGCUCGAUUCUUUCUUGAAGGGCGUGGGAAGGGGGCGCGGGGCAAAAUGCCAGCAAAGAAGCUGAGUUCAGCGACAAAGGUGUCUAGCACGGCGACGCAUCCCCCUCGCCGGCGCACCUCAGGACUACUGGGCGGCAGCACAAAUGACAGUGAACAGGGAGGGAGCGCGGCAUCACUGCCAUCCACGGCGACGGGCGUCGCGCAGCCUCUGAAGAGAAGCGGCAUCAAAUCGCGUAACUCUAUCAACUACACCUCCUUCAGCGCGCAGCAAGCGGCCGCGGUGACCAGCAGCGGCGAUGCCCAUGCACCCCACGUCCGCACGAAAGUACCGGUAGCCACCGCCAAGGCGGCCUCUGGACGACCUCGAGCGGUCGCUGUCAUCCCGGCGAAUCACACAACACCACCGCCGCCUGCCGCUCGUGAAUCGGUGCCGUCCCCGCCUAAUCCUGCCGCUGCAGCGGCGGUGCAGAAUGCACCACCUCUGGGCAGCAGCUCCACCACGACGACAGCCGGUGCUGUUCGCCGAGCACGUUUUGGCAUCCACACCCCGAGUGUCACCGCCCCAUCCGCUGCCGUAGACCCACCCGGGGCCUCACCCGCAGCCCAGAACGGCAGCCCCAAGACGAGUUUGCCUACCCUUUCGACGGGCCCUCCGUCGCUCCCAACAGCCAAGCGCGUCACCCACCACACUGACGUCGACAUUAAUCGCACUGUUGUGUCACCGGCUUCGGUUGGCUCUUGGGCAGCAAAACUUCAGCCCAGAUGCAGCUUUCCAGCAAGCGGACCGCGUCGUCUAUCCUCGUCGUCCUCCCAUGCUAUCAAGGCCACGAGCAGCGCGCCAGCUGCAGCAGCGACCCCGUCAACGGCGGCCUCUGAGGCCGCUGCUGCCGAGGCCGACCCCAGAGAGGCACCAGCUGCGCGCCAGUAUGCUAGCGCACUCCUGGCCGUCGCCUCGAAGCCGAACGGGCAGUCGAAGAGCGCCGCAGAUCCGUCAACGGACUCCACAGCGGCGCCGGGAACUUCAUCAUCUGUGGCACAGGCUUCCCUCGAGUCAAGAGGUCAGUCCUUGAGUGUUAUGGGCAAGAAGAAAGUGAUGCGUCGUGCAAGUGCCGGGACGGCCACGAGUCGGCCACCGAGCACCGCCACGUCACGGCGGCCCUCUGUCAGCUGCAGCGCAGCGCCUACGUUGGACGCGGAGAGUGCACCCUCGACGGCGCUGAACACAGCGCGCACGGCCGGGCCGGCGGCUGUCAAGACGCCAACGAACGCCGGCAGCGCGGUGUCUGCGGGCACCGCCACCCCCCUCCCUCGUGGUCCUGUCGUCUCGGAGGAGUGGGCGCGCAGCAUCAUCAAGCCCGGGGACGAAAAUCUCCUGUACCGGGCAACGGCGGCAGCGACGACAUACUCUGGCUUUGCUUGCACGCCCUCCGGUAUUAGCAUAAGCGGCGGCGCGGCAAGCGCGGCCUGGCAAGCGAGCGCCGCGCGAAGCUCGAUAAACGACACGCAGCUGCGUCGUGCCCAGGAGACGGUGCUCCGGCUACGGAACGCCGAAACACCCACGCCGAGGUGGCGCAGCACCAAGGCCGCGUCAGUGGGUGCUGGCAGCGCCGUCUCGGUAGCGUCUGGUGGUUCUGGCUCUCGAUUUGGCUCCACCGUGAAGCGAAGCGGAACUCGCCUUCGGCGCCGCCGACAGGAGGAUGAAGACCGGCAAAGGUCGCUCAUGGAGACAAUGGCGAUGCCAGCAGGCGAGAACGGGGGGAGCGUGAGUGGCGGACGCGCGUCGAACCCCGGUACCGCGGCUGGCUCCGCCUCCCCGACGCCGUCGCGCAUUUCAGAGGCCUCCACCAACACAAUGAUGAGGGGUGGCGGUCGCCUCAGCGGCGGUAGUGCACGUCCCCUGCUCGAGCAGCUGCCUGGCGGCGCGUCCGUGCCGGUGGACAUCAUGGGUCAGCGGCGCUCGCCGUCUCUGAAGCUUUUUGCGAAGCCGUCGCCGCGGACGUUUUCAACGCCGAGCCCUCGCGGCAGCACCGGUGCGCCGGGGCUAAAAACCACAUUUGGCGUCAGCAACGGGCCAUAUUACGCGGGCAACGAGGAACUCACGAGGCUGACGUGGGUGCGCGAAGAGAUGUUGCGCGCCCUGAUGCAAUCUGCCGCACCGCCGGCGUCGGCGGUGACGAGAGAAAACAGCGCCGCUGCUGCAGCCCCCUCGAUGCCGAGCCCGAAAGAUGGAAGCGACGCAAACGCUCUGGAAGGCUCCGCGUCGUCGGUGCUGACGAUGCACUUCGAUCCGCAGGUAGGCGAGACGGCUCCGGUGUCGCCGGCGUUCUCAUCUGCGGGAAAGCGACCACGACAGCGUGUGUAUAGCGUCGACCUACGCGGCGCCACGGGCAGCGACGAGUCAGCGCCGCCUAAGCAGUCGCCGGCAGCCGACGUAACGCAGCCACGUGGGCGGUUGGCUGGCAGCGGCACCACUCCCCUUCUCGCCUCUUCUAUUCGCCAGAAGCCUGGCAACUCUGUCUUCGUUUCUCGUCCAGCGCCACCAGGCUCCCCCGUGCGAGUGGGCGUUACUCCGGGCCCCACCUCGGCCCGCCCCACCUUGGACUCUAGUGCAUUCGCGUCUGGCGCUCCGCCCGCUGCCCCAGCGGCUGCUGCUCGCCAGCAGCGGCGUACAGCCGUGACGGUGGCGAUGUGUAGCCUUCAAUCCCCCAACACGCUCGCCGAGCGGGUGCGGCUGGAGCUCGUGCGGCAAGAGCAGCAACAGCCUGCCGCGGUUCGUACCGGGCAGAUGCAAGCGGCAGCACCUUCAGCUCCCGCAGCGAAUCAGCGUCCCACGGCCACUCCUAUCGACGCAGCCACGCGGCUCCUCCUCCUUGACCCACUCUUCCCUCUCAUUAGCGAGGAGAACUAUCAGCGGCUCGUGCUGCAAAACGACGAGUACACAACUCGCAAGGCGCUGCUGGCCCACAUAGGCGCGACACCGCCGCCGCCGUCCUCGGCGUCGCUUCUCUACGAGUCGCCGUCCCCAGUGCCGCCUCUUGACGUGGACAAGAAGCCGCGCAGAUCAGGGGCUGAGGUGCCACCUGCAGCGCGAGCGUUGGAGAUGGAUCUUGCAGAGGCCGACGAAGCGGCGCCCUCGCGGUCGCUGACGGCGGCGGCACUGACGUCCACUCCAGCUGCUGCAGCAGCGGCGCCUCCGUCCCCCUCCGCGUCCCCUCCCAACGCUGCAACCAUCGGCAGCACCCCGCUUCGUCGGCCAUCCGUGCAGUACGGCGGUCCUGCCUUGUACGCCACCUUUUCGCCUUCUCGCGUUCCUUCGCCGUCCCCUACGGCCUCAGGUCUCACUUCGCCCACUGCCGGUCCCGCGGUGGGACUCGGCGGCGCCACGUCCUCUGCACGGGACGGCAAGCUGCUCGUCAAUGCCGUGAUGCCGACUGAGAAGUCGGGAUCCAUUAAGUCACUGGCGGUAGGCGGCGUGUGGUACGCAGCUAGCCCGAUGUCGGAGAUCACGGGGCAGAGCACCGCCCAACUCUCCCUCAACGCGAGUCUUCUAGUGAGCGUCGGCGGUAGUGGUGCGCUAGGUGGGACCGGCAACUCUCCGAUUCGCAUGCGCUCCACCAGCCCCACGGCAAGCUGCUCAUCUUCGAGAAACGCCACUCGCCGCGGCUCGUUGCUUCGAAGCGUGCAGCAGCACCUCCAGCCCCAGGCAGCAACGGCAGCCACGCCCAGCCGCAGCGACAGCACCGGCGACGAAGUCAGCACCGCUUCCGACGAGGCGGUUGACGUGGCUGAAGUCGAGCUUUGCAAGGCGCUGCCGCGCUGGGGCCCGUUCCGCACCCCCCACGCCGCGGCGUCGUCCGAUUCCGAUGUUGUCGAGCAGGAGUGCGCCACCAAGCCAGGCACCAUCGCAGGAGACACCACCACCGGCGCAGCCAUGGCCACUGCACCUCGCAAGACGAAGAAGUCCGCGCACGGAGAAGCAUCCGCGGUGGUAUCGCCGACAGGGUCGACACCGAGCCCGCUCUCCAUGGCGCCGGCCCUCUCGCUCGCCAUGGCGGAGGAGCUGCAGGCGUACGUGCACGUCUUUCUCAAGCGCUACCGCAACGUUGACGCGGUAACGGCGAAGGAGAUGGGGCCUGUCCCGGAGACGCCGCUGGCGUUGCAGCGCGCGAUUCGCCGCAGCCUCCGCUUAUCGGCCGGGGAUAGAGCGAAUGCGGCGGACGACAAGGACGCAGUGGAGCUGGAGGAUUCCCUGGACGACGGCAGCUACCACAGUCAAAACGUGCAGUACGUGCUGGAUCUCUUGGGAUCGCUGCUGCAGUCAGAAACCUCCUUUUGUGAGGACGACGCGGCACGAGCGGCAAGUGGUGCGCAUCCGUGGACUGCUGCAGCGCAGCGACACACAAAAAAGCGAGCCACGGGCGCCCAGCUUAUUGCGGCGGUGAUGGGACGGCCCGCCUCGUCGUCUGGUGAGGUCACGGCAGGCGGUGCUGUGCCGAAGCACACCAGAAGUGUCGCCGCUCGAUCCGCUGCGGUGCGGCCAGCGUUGAAGCUACGUGACCCUGAGCUGCGUGCCGUAGAACUCAUGUUCGUCAACGACGCACCGUAGGAACGCGCAGACGCCGAGGGGGGCACUUGAUGAAGGCAGAGGGGGCAUCGUGCAGAGGACGGAUGCCGUGGAGACGUCCAUUCGCACAUAAGCACACAUACACAGGCACAUGCGCGCGUGUGAGCGUUCGACUUUUUAGACUACAUGAAUGUGACAGCUACGUAAAC